UUUUUAUGUAUGCCUUCCUGUCUUGAAUGCCAUCAUUAAUUUCCCUGCUUAUUGGUUUGGUGUUUUGCAGUUAUAACUUGAAACUCUGUAUUUCGAGUCCUGAAGAAGGUCCCCAUCGGGAUUGAAACGUCGACUAGAUGAAAUAAAGAAGAGUUAUU